GGGAGAUGUGAGAGCUGAUGCAGAGCGCGUGUCGACGGCUGGAGAGCUGAAGAUAAAGGCCUCGAGAGCAACAAACUCACACACCGCUGACAAACGAGCAUGACGACUCUGGCUGGAAUUACAGACAACAACAGUCGAAUUCAGGGAUGAGCUGUGAGAUGUUGCCCGGUUCCUCAAGUGGAAGGUCCACCUGCUGCAUGUUCACAUGCUGUGUGGACACGAUGGAGGAACGAUCAUCCUCCAGCAUCUAUGAGAAAACAACCAGAGCUCAGAAUUAGAAAAGCACAAACAGCGGGGUCCAAAACUCACACAAAAAAAUCUGUCAUUUCAAAUCUCACAGGUAAGGCAGGCUCUGUGCCCUGAGCUUUGCGCUUUUGUCCACGGGGUCCAGAUGGAGGAGGCAUGACUGAUUCAUCAAGGGUCGUGCGACUGCCCUCCAUGGCUGAAGCCUGCAGGACACUGGGCUCCUCCAGGAUGGUCUGGUCUACAAAAAGCCAACAAAUAGGCAUUCGUGACAAACUACUUGUUCCAGAGAUCUGUCCUGACCUUGAGCAGUCUGCUGUUCCAGAGGGGCUGAGCUGGCAGAGAGAAGAGCUUCUCCACUCCUCCUGUUUCCUUCCACAUCAUCAGUUUCUUGGUAGGGGGAGCCAGAUCCAGAGUGGUGACAAUGUCAGAGUAGUCGCUC